GGUGGCGAGUAACAGCAAAUGUAUUUAUACUUUGAAAUAGUCUGUAAUAGCUGAGAAGUUUAGUGAGGCCCCUUUGAGGCCCCUCCUCCUUCCAAAAGCUUUUGUUAAUAAAGCAGUGCCUGACUCACUAUUAAAUUGUAUUUGGUAACAAUUUACCUACAACAAAAGCAACAAAGUGUUUAAAGGGGAUCUCUUCAGGGCACGAGCCAAGAUUCUUAAUAAGUCUGACUGGCACUGCAUCUGGACCUACUACAACACAUGAUUGAACAUCCAUACAACUGGGAAAAUUGCAGAGGCAUUUGUCAGAAUUGCAUUAUGAUGGUGAUGAUACUGCUUGGCACAACACCAAUCUACACCAAUGAGGAGUCUCUCUCAAAUCUAGUCUGAUCCCAGCUACAGCUUCUUUGAUAUCAUCUCCAGUCAUUUUGCUUUAGUAAUCUUCAAAUUGGCCUGUUCUGAGCGUAUUCUGAUACUAAAACGGUCUGAGAUAACAAAGUGUGAAGCUGGAUGAACACAGCAGGCCAAGCAGCAUCUCAGGAGCACAAAAGAUGAUGUUUCGGGCCUAGAAAAAUUACCCAUUUCAAAGAAAGCCCUCAUUCACAAGAAGUUGGUGUACGUACCCCUUGGGUAACCGGGAGCAGCUUGCAUGACUGGGGCUCCCUGAUGGGACCAGACUAACAGUCACAAACAGGAACUCAGAUUCUACGAGGUCCACCUGGCCGACCUUGUUACAAUCAUUACACAAUGGUUGUUGCCUUUAAUGAUGACACCCAAGAUCCAGGAUUGCCAAUGGCUCAGGCUUCAGUGGAUUAAUGGCAGGAUGGGGACCAUGGGUGGAUUUUACUGACAAGGAGAAGGUUAACAACAAAGGGAAGGCAAUCUACAAUCCUUACAUGGCCUGGCCUCUAUGUGACUCCGGACCCACAGCCACAUGGUUGACUCUUAACCAUCCUCUGAAUGAUUAUUCAUGGCCAGUAACUGUUGACCUAGUCAAUGAUACAUUCAUUCCAUGAACAAAUGUUUUAAAACAUUGUUGUCUCUGGUGUGGCAGGCCUGCUUCAGGACGCACAAGCUAUGGAAACAGAUGUAAGCAUAAGCUUUGCUUUGUUCUCGAGCUGUAGGAGGUCUUCUAGGUUUAAGACAUGUACAUCUGCCUUUCAUUUUUUUUCUAUCCACUGCAGAGCUAAUUUUGACAUUGUCAAUGAGUAUAUAAAAGAGAAACAAACAUUGUGGCCGUUAAUGUUGAAGCCCAAUUCUCCUUAAGGCUCUGCAAAAUAACUUACUGGCAAAACGCAAAAGAUACAAAUGAAUUAAAACAGCUGCUCAGAUACUACUUCAGUGGCUUGACAUAUUUAUCUUAACAUUAUUCUUCAAAAAAAUUGUGAAAAUUCAUGAAAAGCAAUAUCUGAUCGUAAACUUAGUGAUACAAAGCAAACAAAUCCUGUGAAUAUAAAAUGAAGUGCAGCCUUCUCAAGGCAUUUUCCACUUGGAAUCUUCCACUACAUGACCAUGCACCUAUGUAGUAAGGGUCAGGAGGGCAUUCACCUAAUAGAAGUAUUGCAAGUGAACACAACUCUCUCCUCCCUUUAUCCCAAGCCAUUCAACCCCUCACCGUCUCUUAUCUCACAACACACACACAAUUUAUUUAAUUACAUAUAAAUUGGAACGUGAACUCUGGCUCCCCCCCUGUCUAACUAAGGACCCUGGAAGGUGUUUGUAUAAUCAGCAAGAUUGGAUGAGAUCAACUAACUUGGCAUAGGCAAAGAAUAAAUAAAGCAUGGUUAACUUGUAUGACUCAUCUAGAUAUAUCCACAAAGGACCACGAAAGCAUGAAUCAACUGUAGUCUUGUCAGGAGAACACAAGAACAGUCUGCAGCUCAGCCCUCAGAUGAAAUAGGCUGUUCUUGUAUUAAAGAACAUUACUUGUUUGGUUAGCUUGUUGCUCAGCAAUGGAGCUGAAAUCUUGCAUGAAAAAUUCUGUCCUCAAAUUGAUUUUUGAUUUUUCUGCCGUUUGAUAGGAGGAUUUAUCCAGUGUAUCUAAGGUGCUUGGCCUAUUUAACAGAGAAUAUUAUGAUACUGAGUCAGGAUAUAACUACACCAUUAAUAAAGUUGAGAAUCAUGUGUGACUUUGGUCAUAUUUCCAAAAUGAGUGACAGUGAAUCGGCAGUCUAUUUUGCACUCUUUGUCAACACUUAU